GAUGAACGCUGGCGGCGUGCCUAAUACAUGCAAGUCGAGCGAACAGACGCGGCGCUUUCUCCUCUGACGUUAGCGGCGGACGGGUGAGUAACACGUGGAUACCCUACCUAUGAGACAGGGAUAACUUCGGGAAACCGGAGCUAAUACCGUAUAAUAUAUUGAACCGCAUGGUUUAAUAGUGAAAGACGGUUUUGCUGUCACUGAUAGAUGGAUCCGCGCCGGAUUAGCUAGUUGGUAAGGUAACGGCUUACCAAGGCGACGAUGCGUAGCCGGCCUGAGAGGGUGACCGGCCACACUGGAACUGAGACACGGUCCAGACUCCUACGGGAGGCAGCAGUGGGGAAUUUUCGGCAAUGGGCGAAAGCCUGACGCAGCAACGCCGCGUGCGUGAUGAAGGUCUUCGGAUUGUAAAACUCUGUUAUAAGGGAAGAACCGGUGUGGGAGUAUAUAUGCGCCUAUUGACGGUACCUAAACAGAAAGCCACGGCUAACUACGUG
rnacentral:rRNA from 1 species